AUGGGGCGCGCGCCGUGCUGCGACAAGGCGAGAGUGAAGCGGGGGCCGUGGUCGCCGGAGGAGGACGAGCAGCUGCGGGCCUACGUCCGGGCUAAUGGCUUCGGCGGCAACUGGAUCGCCCUGCCGCACAAAGCAGGGCUGAACCGGUGCGGCAAGAGCUGCCGCCUGCGGUGGCUCAACUACCUGAGGCCGGACAUCCGGCACGGCGGCUACACGGAGCAGGAGGACCGCGUCAUCUGCUCCCUCUACGCCUCCAUCGGCAGCCGCUGGUCCAUCAUCGCCUCCAAGCUCCCCGGCCGCACCGACAACGACGUCAAGAACUACUGGAACACCAAGCUCAAGAAGAAGGCCAUGCCCAUGCGUGGCCCUCACUACCACCACCACGCCGGCCUCGGACUCGAAGCCGGAGCCGGAGCCUUCUCCGCGCCCGCCACGCCCUCAGGUCCUACUCCUGCCCGGUCCUGGAGCCAAUGCGUGCCGUCCUCCCUGCAGGCCGCGGCGCUCUCGCCGGCGGCGUCCGGCUCCUCCUCCGUCGACACCAGCUCAUCAGGCGGCGACAUGUGCUUCGCCGCCGCCGGCAUGUACCAGCCGCAGCACCCCAUGCAGGGGUUCGUGCACGUAGACUCGUCGCCCCAGACCGUGCUCGCGCCCAUGCCGCUGGACGUCCCCGCCGCCACUGGCAUCUGGGCGUCGUCCAUGCCUGCAGCGGGCGACGUCGGUGGCGUGGCACUGGAGGACGCGUUCCUCGCCGACCUCGGCGCCUACGGCGAUCUGCUGCUCGGCGGCUUCGGCGGACAGCUGCUGCAGGACAACAAGGCCGCCGCCGCCAUGGAGCUCCCCGGGGCGUGCUACUUCCCCAACAUGGCGGAGAUGUGGGCCGCCGACCACGCCCACGCCAACGCCAAGCCGCCGCAGGGCCUCUGCAACACGUUCACAUAG
rnacentral:rRNA from 1 species